CAUGAUCACCCAAGGAAUCGACACACCCUAAACCCUGAUCGAGAGCUCUUGGUCGAGGUCUCCAUCGCCCCUUCCAUGUGAUGUCGCCCCCUGCCGCAGUCUCGCUAUGGUCUUGGUCUAGGUCUCCAUCGCCUAACCUCUAUGAUGAAGAGAACGCAUCAAGUUAGAUCCAGCGGCAAGAUUUGCAUGCAGGUGAUUAACAUCAUCAAAUUGGCUGCCUCCACAUGUUACACAAAAUUGGGGGCUCUUUCUCCCGGUGCCAUUAGCCUCUGUGUGUAUGUGCGCGCGCGCGUGUUGCAAAUGAUGAAGAGAAUGCAGUGAGUUAGAUCAAGCGGCAAAUUUUAGAAAAGCAAGAUUUCAAUGCAGGGUGCAUUUGGGAAGCUCUUCUCGGCCCCGGCACUGUCGAGGCGGAGGAUGAGGUGAUAAGCUCACGAUUAAGCAACUGGUCUGGUGAUGGAUUAAGCGUGUGAAUAAACUUUUGAUCUGAGGUAACAUUCCUCAAAGGAAGAUUGUGGUCCGUUAACUAAUUAACUAGGCAAGACAAACAACUCACAGAUGUUAGUAGGCGCUAAGUGUUGGUCCAUGAUGGCUGAGAAGCAUAGAUAUAUAAUUAUACCCUCUCAAAUCAGUCAAGCUAUGUGAUCUAUUAUUGUUUGGAUCAUGGAG